UUUUCUACUUAGUGUGCCUCUAACAUGCACCAAGCUAACAAACGUUAUUACCAUGAAUUGCAGCUAUUACACAUGUUUUCCACUAACCAACUAGUUAUGUCUCAAUGCAGCUUACACAAGCAAACUGAUGUUUCCACUUGCAGCACAUAACAGGAACUGGCCCAACCACAAGCCUGCGGGGGCCCCAUCUUGUGAUAACAGCAACAGUGUCUGGCAUGCUCGACCCUGUGAAAACAGGAACACACACACACACAAGCCAUAGCUUAUCCAAGGCACUCACACCCAGACUUAGAAGCUUUGAUAGAAACUCAACAUCAUCAGAACAUUGUGCAAGAUCGCAGGAAGACGCAUGAACAGAUGGAGCCAAUCGACGGUGACAACGCCUGGACCUGAGCCAACCAGAGGAUCGGGACUUCAAGACUCAACCUACUUUUUGUGUUGUAUAAAACAUGUAAACAAACUGUUUUAGGGACUCUCUUCCGCUGGCUCCCUCAGAGCUACUGGAACGAGUCCGUGCACGCUGUACCAAAUAUCUUCACUCUGAAUAAACUAUCGCUUGUCAUAUAAUUUAGCGCCUUGUCCGAAUCAGUCCUUGACCGACUCUCCCUUCUUCUCAUUCCAUUUACCAACAGUAGCCUACAGGACGCGCUAACAACACGGAGCUUUUUGGACAUAAAUUAUUAGCUUUUUCGAACAAAACUACAUUUGUUAUGGACCUGGGAUUCCUGGAAGUGCCUUCUGAUGAAGAUAAUCAAAGCAUCAGUAGGACACGCCUGACUUUCCUCCACCAGUCAUACAAGGAGAAUGGUUCUAACGCCUUCCAUCAAAAGAGAGCUGGCCCAAGCAAGCACAGGUUACACCUGAAGCAUGAGGACUUGCAGCCAGUUGUGAACUUCAUCAACAAAUACGCAGAGCAUAAUGCAACAGUAUUACCAGGAUGCCACCCAGGACAACAAACACUUUGGUGGAAAGCUGCUGCCAAUCUCAUGUGACAAAAGCAGCGUUGUGGCGUCUCUACAAGGAAUCAAUGACUACACUUAGUAUCUAAAGCAUAAAUAACACAUACACUACUGGUCAAAAGUUUUAGAACACCUACUCAUUCAAGGGUUUUUCUUCAUUUUUACUAUUUUCUACAUUAUAGAAUAAUAGUGAAGACAUAAACUAUGAAAUUACACAUGUAGUAACCAAAAAAGUGUUAAACAAAUCAAAAUAUAUUUGAGAUUCUUCAAAUAGCCACCCUUUGCCUUGAUGAUAGAUUUGCACACUCUUGGCAUUCUCUCAAAUAGCUUCACCUGGAAUGCAGGUGACUACCUCAUGGAGCUGGUUGAGAAAACUAAUAGCGUAUUUUCAUUAUUUAAUUUACCUUCUACAUCAAUGGCACUACUUAUAUUGAUCUCACAUUGUUUGUGUAUUUUUCAGAGAUACGUGUAGUCUGGCUGUCUUCCUUCAAGAAUCUUUUGAGAGAUUGCUGGUAUGGUGAUGGACAGCAGUGUGAAAGAGGUUAACAUCCCACAGCUGGUUGGACUGGAGGAUGUACGGUGCUGGUGGAAAGCUUUGAUGCUCUAGAGCCUGGUGUUAUUUGUUUCCAAGGAGCAUCCGGACUCAGUCGGGACCAGGUUCCAGCUGCUGCUCAACACUGACGUCCUUCCUCCCACAGAUGGUCUGCCUGUACAAGCAUCACCUGGACUGGACACAACUAGACAAACAUAUAUUUUUGAGAAGAUCCGGGAGUUUUGCGACAAAGAGGCCAUGGACAUCACAUGCCCUGCACCAACGUCAAGGGCAGGACAGAAACAGGCUCUACGAAUAUAGAUUCCCUUGUUCAUGCGUGGUGUGGACGGACCAGUUCAUCACUGGGGGACGAGUUCCCAGUCAUCCAGACUAUCUGCAGUGCCUAAUAGCAACACUUUCACAUGACUCUCUCCUAGCACACAUACACAAACGCCAUACAUUGUUGCUGCUAUUUAUUUGCUCAGCCACUUUACCCCUUAUUGUAUACAUAAACAGUAACUACCUCAUCUAUCACCAGUAUCAGUGAUAACACUGUUUAGCACAUGGCCUCACAUGUGAAUCCUCAAAGAGAUGGGUGGAUCUAAGGCUUAUUAGGCUGUGAAUGAUGUUGAAUAGGUGUAGACAAAGAACAGCUCUCCAGUAGGUAUACCAAACAGGGUCAUUUUCUCAAAUGUAGGAUUACAAGUUUAUCAACAUUCAAAGCAGAUUUCUUUCCCAUUGUUCCUCAACUGCAGUUUAUGAUAUACCAUUUUCUAACUUUGUCUCUACAUUUACAUUUCAGUCAUUUAGCAGACGCUCUUAUCCAGAGUGACUUACAGUAGUGAAUGCAUACAUUUCAUACAUUUUCUCUGUACUGGUCCCCCGUGGGAAUCGAACCCACAACCCUGGCGUUGCAAACACCAUGCUCUACCAACUGAGCCACACAGGAAGCACUCUACUUUUAUUCAAUGUAAAAAAACACAAUUUCAAAUGUUGCUACAUAAGACGAAUCAAGGCGGUGAGUCACAAAUGGGUACCUACUCCUUCAUACAAAACACAGCUCUUUCACAAUCCAAACCCCUGUCUUUGACACAGCACAAAUGCAGUGUUUUAUCAUUAUCCAAGUCAGUGAGUUCUCCACAACGCAAACCUUGUUUUUGUCAUCUACACAAUGACAAAGCAGAAAUGUUUCAUAAUUGCUUUAAACUCACCCACUGCUGGUGAAUGUUGCACAUGAAGAGUUCAUUUCCAAACCCUAUAUGCACCAAUUUUCACGUUUUUUUUUUCAUCAGAAAUGAUUGCUUAUGGAUAUGUUCAUUUUUGUGUAAAAUAUUAAUAUUCUCAGAUUUUUUUAUUAAUAGAUUUGAGAUGUGUAUGAAAAUGUUUUUUUUUGCCAAACGCUAUGCAGUAUAUCCAUUGUUUAACUGGAAUGGAAUAUCCUCUACAUUUGACUGAGAUAUGUGGUUGUCCCACCUAGGCUUUCUUAAGAUGAAUCCACUUACUGUAAGUCACAAAUGUAAUAUUUGUACAGUUCUUUAUAAGAAAUGUAGUUAUUUAUUACAUUUGACUGUGUAAAAUUUAGCAGUACUACUUAUUUACCAACAUGUCUGAAAAUGGAUAUGUAACGUUUUACAUAACUUCAUGUAUCUCCACAGAGAGUUUGUGUCUUCAAAGCACAUAGAUUUUAUUUUGUAUUUUUUUUAUUUAACCUUUAUUUAACUAGGCAAAAGGCCUCCUGCGGGGACGGGGGCUGGGAUUAAAAAUACAAAUGGUCAAAUAAAAAUAUAGAACAAAACACACAUCACGACACAAGAGACAAAACAACACUACAUAAAGAGAGACCUAAGACAACAACAUAGCAUGGCAGCAACACAUGACAACACAUGCAGGGUUCCUCUCAGGGAUUACAGUAAACACCACAUACAGGCUUCCUCUCAGGGAUUACAGUAAACACCACAUGCAGGGUUCCUCUCAAGGAUUACAGUAAACAACACAUACAGGGUUCCUCUCAAGGAUGACAGUAAACACCACAUACAGGCUUCCUCUCAGGGAUUACAGUAAACACCACAUACAGGGUUCCUCUCAGGGAUUACAGUAAACACCACAUACAGGGUUCCUCUCAGGGAUUACAGUAAACACCACAUACAGGCUUCCUCUCAGGGAUUACAGUAAACACCACAUACAGGGUUCCUCUCAGGGAUUACAGUAAACACCACAUACAGGGUUCCUCUCAGGGAUUACAGUAAACACCACAUACAGGGUUCCUCUCAAGGAUUACAGUAAACACCACAUACAGGGUUCCUCUCAGGGAUUACAGUAAAAACCACAUACAGGCUUCCUCUCAGGGAUUACAGUAAACACCAAAUACAGGCUUCCUCUCAGGGAUUACAGUAAACACCACAUACAGGGUUCCUCUCAGGGAUGUCUGCACUUUAUUUUAUCUCUUUGUCUGGGUUUUCCUGUCACACACACAAAGUCUCAAGUCAUGAAGAUUCAACACACACACACACAAAAACACACACAGCGACCAAGCUACCUCUCAAAUAGUUAGAAAAGCAUGCAGUAGCUGAGGGAGUUCAGAGGCAAAGAGUCCCUGCUCUUUGCACUCUGUGUCCCUGCUCUCUGUGUUUCUGUGUUCCUUUGCUGUGUGUGUGUGUGUGUGUGUGUGUGUGUGUGUGUGUGUGUGUGUGUGUGUGUGUGUGUGUGUGUGUGUGUGUGUGUGUGUGUGUGUGUGUGUGUGUGUGUGUGUGUGUGUGUGUGUGUAUUCAACUCCAUGGAGAGCCAUAAUUGUGUUUUAUUUUACGAUCCUCCGUCUACCACAUCAGUGAUUAUUAUGCCCAGUGCAGUGCGUGCAUGCAUGUGUGCUUGCCAGCAUGUGUGUGCGUGCCUGUACUGCAGAUGUUUCCAUUAAUUUCACUGUAAUGCACACACACUGCUAGCAGGCUCUUUGACAAGUGCAAGUGUGGGGUUAAAGGUUAACUAAGAACUGAAUGCUGUGGUCAUGUGUUCCUGUGUUUCACCUGACCCGAGAGGGAAGCUGCUUGACACCAUCAAUCCUCGCCUCCUCAUUCCUGAUAGGCUCUUGAGUUGAGAUGGACUAGGAUGAAGUUGCCCCUUGACACUGAUCUUAGGUCAGUUUUUCAAGGAGCACAAACUGAUCCUGGAUCUGUGAAUAUGAGAAACUUCUGCUUGCAGAGAGUGAGAACCAGGGGUUGGAAACAAAAUUAUUAUCCAAUUGUUUAGUUCUGAAAAGAAAUUUUUUUUACGUUGCUUUCCACUGUUCCGACCAGCAAAAUAAAGUUCUGAACCGGUUCGAAACAAAAAGAAGUAACAGUUUAUAUCGUUCCUUAUUUUUUUUACAUUUAGCUCGACAUUAAAUUACUUCACCAAUCAGUAUGGAUAAAGCAGCUUGUUGUGGCGCGGGUAAGCAAUUUCAUCCGUAUAGGAAAGUCGUUAAGAGCAAAUUGUAUUUCGCCGUAACUGUAUGGUUUAAUCAUACUGAGGGGGUUUGAUUUAUCUCGUCUGGGUGUCCAUGUAGGUGUGUUUUACAUUGGCUGAAAGUUGAUUGCAUUCGAUUUGGAACCAGGCUGCCUCUCGGGCGUGAGCCAGGUACCCCGUUCAAAGCCCACUGUGAUGUCGGCUCAAAACAAAAUUGACGUAAUUAAGCACGUGUGGUAAAUAGGAUUUUGUGUUUUCCCACGCAAAAGUGAUUGCUUUUGAUUAAAACGCUUUAUCUGCCUUCCCAAUGAAAAAUAUUAAGAACAUUUAAAUAUUUACUUUACGGAAAAGAGAUGUUGUAUGUUUCUGAACACCAUGCUGCCUUGUUGAAAACAUGACCAAGCAGCGCAGAUUAGUGUUCAAUUUCUGGAUAGCGCUCUUCCCUCCCCGCUUUCAGGAUGAGGUGAUGGGCAAAUCCCGGUGCCCCGCGGCUCAGAAUAAUCGAAUCCGCCCAAUGAAAGACAAAUACAAGCACUGUGCUGCCAGUCACAGCGUAGGGCGCAAAAUGCAACUGACAUUUUGAGGCUGAGGAGAGAGCGAGAGAGGAUGGAGGAAGCUUGCCUUGAAGCGCUGGGAAUCUUUUUAAGACAUGCAUUAUCUGAAUUAGGCCCACAGAAUUAUACCUACGGAGGAGCGGCUUCUAUGGAGGAACUUUGAAUGUCUUUGAACUUCCGAGUUGGUUUAACAGACAAAUACAAGCACUGUGCUGCCAGUCACAGUGUAGGGCGCAAAAUGCAUUGGACCAAAGCAAAUGUUAGCUAGCUAAUGUAGCUAUCAAGCCUGAGUGCGCAGAGCAGCACUACACUCUAAAAAGAAAAGAGUUCUGGAGUAUCCUUUAGGGGUUCUUCAAAUUGAAACUGUGUAGGAACCCCUAUAAGUUCCUCAAAGGACCUUUUGGGGUUACUUUUUGAACUACCCCCCCCCCCCCCACACAACUGUUAUUAUUAUUAUUCAUGGUAAUAAAAUGCAUAAAACAACAACAAUAACACAAUA